rnacentral:lncRNA from 1 species
ACCUUUGCCUUAAUCCCCCUUCCUUGCCAUGCAAGGGAUCCUCUUUCCCAUCAGUUUUAGGUCACUUAGACCUUUCCCAAACCCUUGCCGCACAAGUAGACCUAUUUCCCUUUAGUUUUAGGACAUGUUUCCUUUCUUAAAACAUGAGCCGCACCUCCCUCAUCAUUUCCUCUUCCUUGCCGUGCAAGGGGGAGGGUUUCUUUCCCAAAAUUGGUAUGAUAUUAACUAGCACUCAAAUUAAACCCUCUUUUUAUCAAUUGUAGCAAUGUAUGUACGUAGGGAUCGUUCUAGACCGGGGAUUAGGAGGGAUUGCAAAAUCACUUGGAAUUGACUCAAAUACGUAAAAACAAGUUUAAAAUACUAAACUAGACUCAAAGAAUGCAAAACUAAACUCUAAAACACUAAAACAAACCAAAAGACUCAAAACAGCCUAAAAACCACUUUCUGGGCAGUUUUGGACACUAAUCACCAAAUUGGACGAAUUUGGGUUUUAACUUGAAUCAAAACACUUAAAAACACAAAGUAAAACACUUACUAACUAAUUUGUCACUUUAAAACAAAGGGGGAAUUGGUUUGGACGAAUUUAAAACAAGACAUAAACUCUGUAAAACAAAACAGUUUUGAAAACUGAUAGGAGCAUAUUUAUGCGCCUUAGUUUAGCUUGUUCUUGUGCAUUUAUAGUGUUUUUGCUUAGUAAAGUAGUCUUUUAAGCUAGUUUUAUGUGUUUUCAGGUUCUAAGGGCAAAAUAUGAAAAAGGAUGCAUUUUGGAGCCUUUUGGAGCAAAGUUGAGCUUGGAAUGGAUGUCAUAUGCUUGGAGCCAAGAGGAUGGACGAAAUUGAAGAUUUGAAGAUGAUGUUUCCUACUUGAACAAGGUUUCCUAGUCGAAGUAGGAAAGUGCCUAAGUGAAGAUGGAAUCCUAGUUGAAUUAGGAUUCCUUAAAGAUGAAGAUUCCUACUCAAACAAGGUUUCCUACUUGAAGUAGGAAAGUUAAAUCCAAAUGGCAUCAAGUUUCAGCAACAAAGAAGUUUUCCAAGUCCAAGAAGGAAAAGGAAUCCAAGAUGAAGAAGGAGAAGAAUUCCAAGUCAAGGGAGGAUUGAGACAUGUUUUCCUAAUACUAGAAGGACUCCUAAGUGUUGUAGGACACAAAUGAGAAGUUUCUAGAAAGUUUACAUCUUUGCCGUGGGUUUCAUGCAAUUCCUAUCAGUUUUGGGGCUUUCUAGAAGCCCUAUCCUUAAAUCC